rnacentral:tRNA from 1 species
GCAUGGGUGGCUCAGUCGGUUGAGCAGCUGACUUCAGCUCAGUCAUGAUCUCCUGGUCUGUGGGUUUGAGCCCUGUGUCAGGCU